UGGUCCUCCCGUAAGGGACAUCAGUACAGGUGGUGCAUGGCUGUCGUCAGCUCGUGUCGUGAGAUGUUGGGUUAAGUCCCGCAACGAGCCGCAACCCUUAUUCUUAGUGUUUCCCUUGGGAUUACCCUCUAAGAAGACUGCCUCGGAUAACGGGGAGGAAGGUGGGGAUGACGUCAAGUCCGCAUGCUCCUUACGUCUAGGGCUACACACGUCCUACAAUGGGGCCGACAAUGGGAUGCAAUAUCGCAAGAUGGAGCCAAUCCCCAAACGGCCUCUCAGUUCGGAUUGUAGUCUGCAACUCGACUACAUGAAGUUGGAAUCGCUAGUAAUGGCAGAUCAGCAUGCUGCCGUGAAUACGUUCCCGGGUCUU
rnacentral:rRNA from 1 species